ACCAGAUGCCGGAGGAACGGGAUUGCUAAGUAAUUUUGCCCAAAGUCGCCGAGAGGGCGGUGACAAAUCAACUCACGUCUGCUACUCCGGGUUGUCCCCAGCACGCUGGGUUCCGGGCCGGCAGGAGUCUCCUAGAUGAGCUGUGCUGUGGUGAGGCGGCUUUUUAAUAGGUUGUUGACGAGCAGACCCAGAGGAAGGAGGGAUCGGAACGCUAUUGGCAUGCUGCACAGUAUCAGUGUCUAAGACAGUAACUGCUUGAUGAGCCAGAGGUUCUGAUGCUCCUACACAUGGUUGAUUGGAAGCUG